UAGCUCAUGGGCCAAAAGUGAAGCUUUUUCAGUAUUAUAUUAACGCAUGGGCCAAACUGCUCAGUCAGCAGCAUGCUGCUUUCUCUCAUUGGAAUCUCCAGCCAUCUUUUUUACUCGACAAAGCUGUUUUGAAGCUGUCUUUUUCGAGAAAAGAUUCAAACAGUUUUUAAUUCAUUACUGGAUUUAAAACAGGGACAAGAGGCGAGGUCCCGCAGGCCAUGCCAUGAAAUCACAAGGCAUGCGUUAGCUUUUUUCCUUGACAGCACAUGGGUGUGCUAAAUCAGUCAAUAUGUGCAUUGUUUAAUUCAUAUACAACGCGAAAAAGAUAUCUUGGUUGCCAACCCCAUGUGAUGCCUCUCAGCUUUUGGAAUUCGGUCAGUCAAAGCUUUACUCGAUAAUGCUACUGUAUAAGCAUUCUCGCAUGCUGUCUCUUCCGGGAAUUGAAGUGCAUGCUCGUGGGAUUCUCGAGUCUAGAGAUCAAAUCUGUUGUCGUCCUGGGGAAUGUCGUUUCAGACUCGCGCUUCUCCAGUCAAGCGUGGGAAUCAUGGUCUAAGGCGCUGGAUAUCGAGCAGUAUCAUGCUGCUGUCUCCAAUUCUGAGUUUUUGGCGUGAAGGGCUGUUGCAGUUGUAUAUGCGCUUCCUCCUUAGGCUCAUUCAGCAGUUAUGAGCUCGAUACAUUCCCGGACGUAUGGACAAUUUAGGGUUCUGGUGAAUUCUCACUGAUUUCAUGGAUCAACGCCGCAUAUUCAAUUCAAUUCAUAGGUAGCAGCCACUUAAUAAUAUGAUGUCACUCAAUACGGCCUUUAUGGGUGGUAUUAGUACUUUCUACUCAUUCCUCGAGGAAGAAAAGGUGACAUUGCACGGGUAUGAUGGCAAGCUAUGGAGCAAAUGGCAUUUAUGUGGAUUGACAUCACAUUUUCAAUUAUAGUUUGCUUUUAAUGAAACCAAGUUUAAGUAUAACACUUAACUUUGGUGAUAGGAAAAUUGAAACUGUCAAAGUUUAUUUCUUCUUUUCGCAGUUCUUCGGACAUUGUAAUUUCAUUUUAUUUUGUUAAUGUAUUUAUAUAAAAUCUAUCCCUAGGCGUUUGCUUAGCGGAUUUGCCAAAAAAAAAAUAUCUAGUACAAAAUCUAGACAAAACUGACAGAAUUGAAAUGGACUCAAUUGCUU
rnacentral:lncRNA from 1 species